GAAAUGCGAUACGUAAUGUGAAUUGCAGAAUUCAGUGAAUCAUCGAAUCUUUGAACGCACAUUGCGCCUAAGAGUAUUCUCUUAGGCAUGCCUGUUCGAGCGUCGUUUAACAUAUAAGGCUUUGCCUUGCGUUGAUACCUUUUGGAUUUGAUUCCAAGUAUCCAAAAUUAUUGGCAAAUUGAUAAUGACCGAUGCGCAGCGAAAUGCGAUUUGAAAGUCAGUAUGUAAAUUUGGCCAGUUUUAUCACAAAGUUCGACCUCGAAUCAGGUAAGAUUACCCGCUGAACUUAA
rnacentral:misc_RNA from 1 species